rnacentral:misc_RNA from 1 species
GAUGAAGAACGUAGCGAAAUGCGAUAAGUAAUGUGAAUUGCAGAAUUCAGUGAAUCAUCGAAUCUUUGAACGCACAUUGCGCCCAUUAGUAUUCUAGUGGGCAUGCCUGUUCGAGCGUCAUUAAGUCCACUUAAGCCCUGCUUAGUGUUGGGAGACUGCUCCAGCGGUGCUACCCUGUAGCUACCCUGCAGCUCCUCAAAGACAGCGGCGGAGUUGUGGUAUCCUCUGAGCUUAGUAACUUGUUCUAGCUUUCGAGUACACCACUUCCCCUGCCGUAAAACCCUUAAUUUUUAAUGGUUGACCUCGGAUCAGGUAGGAAUACGCGCUGAACUUAAGCAUAUCAAUAAGCGGAGGA